UACGAAGGGGGCGAGCGUUGUUCGGAUUUACUGGGCGUAAAGGGCGCGCAGGCGGCUUUGUUUGUCAGGCGUGAAAGCCCCGGGCUUAACCUGGGAACUGCGUUUGAUACGGCAGGGCUAGAGUUCGGGAGAGGAGAGUGGAAUUCCCAGUGUAGAGGUGAAAUUCGUAGAUAUCGGGAGGAACACCUGUGGCGAAAGCGGCUCACUGGACCAUAACUGACGCUGAUGCACGAAAGCUGGGGGAGCAAACAGG
rnacentral:rRNA from 1 species